GAUGAAGAACGUAGUGAAAUGCGAUACGUAAUGUGAAUUGCAGAAUUCAGUGAAUCAUCGAAUUUUUGAACGCAUAUUGCACCUUAGAGUAUUCUUUAAGGUAUACCUGUUCGAGCGUCGUUUAGAACAAUAAAGCUUUGCUUUUUGAUGGAUUUUGAUUUGAAAGUGUUUUCAUAACUCUUUGUUCAACUUCCCAAACAUAGUGGCGUUUACUUAGUUUUUGCCGAUGUACAGUGAAAAUGUAUAAUCGAGAAGCAUAAAGUAACUCACGCAAGAAUAAAAAAACCAAUUUUUAUGUUCGACCUCGAAUCAAGUAAGACUACCCGCUGAACUUAAGCAUAUCAAUAAGCGGAGGA
rnacentral:misc_RNA from 1 species